ACAGGGAUUGCCCUAGUAACGGCGAGUGAAGCGGCAACAGCUCAAAUUUGAAAUCUGGCGUCUUUGGCGUCCGAGUUGUAAUUUGCAGAGGGCGCUUUGGCAUUGGCAGCGGUCCAAGUUCCUUGGAACAGGACGUCACAGAGGGUGAGAAUCCCGUACGUGGUCGCUAGCCUUUACCGUGUAAAGCCCCUUCGACGAGUCGAGUUGUUUGGGAAUGCAGCUCUAAAUGGGAGGUAAAUUUCUUCUAAAGCUAAAUACUGGCCAGAGACCGAUAGCGCACAAGUAGAGUGAUCGAAAGAUGAAAAGCACUUUGGAAAGAGAGUUAAAAAGCACGUGAAAUUGUUGAAAGGGAAGCGCUUGCAGCCAGACUUGCCUGUAGUUGCUCAUCCGGGUUUCUACCCGGUGCACUCUUCUAUAGGCAGGCCAGCAUCAGUUUGGGCGGUUGGAUAAAGGUCUCUGUCAUGUACCUCCUCUCGGGGAGAACUUAUAGGGGAGACGACAUGCAACCAGCCUGGACUGAGGUCCGCGCAUCUGCUAGGAUGCUGGCGUAAUGGCUGUAAGCGGCCCGUCUUGAAACACGGACCAAGGAGUCUAACAUCUAUGCGAGUGUUUGGGUGUCAAGCCCGAACGCGUAAUGAAAGUGAACGGAGGUGGGAACCUUUCGGGGUGCACCAUCGACCGAUCCUGAUGUCUUCGGAUGGAUUUGAGUAAGAGCAUAGCUGUUGGGACCCGAAAGAUGGUGAACUAUGCUUGAAUAGGGUGAAGCCAGAGGAAACUCUGGUGGAGGCUCGCAGCGGUUCUGACGUGCAAAUCGAUCGUCAAAUUUGGGCAUAGGGGCGAAAGACUAAUCGAACUAUCUAGUAGCUGGUUCCUGCCGAAGUUUCCCUCAGGAUAGCAGUAACGUUUUCAGUUUUAUGAGGUAAAGCGAAUGAUUAGAGGCCUGGGGGUUGAAACAACCUU
rnacentral:rRNA from 1 species